rnacentral:rRNA from 1 species
UACAGAGGUCCCAAGCGUUGUUCGGAUUCACUGGGCGUAAAGGGUGCGUAGGCGGUCGGGUAAGUCUGAUGUGAAAUCUCACAGCUUAACUGUGAAACUGCAUUGGAUACUAUUCGGCUAGAGAGUUGGAGGGGGGACUGGAAUUCUUGGUGUAGCAGUGAAAUGCGUAGAUAUGCGGAGGAACACCGAUGGCGAAGGCAAUCCCCUGGGCCUGCACUGACGCUCAUGCACGAAAGCGUGGGGAGCAAACAGG